UGCAAGUCGAACGGGUGAACACGGAGCUUGCUCUGUGGGAUCAGUGGCGAACGGGUGAGUAACACGUGAGCAACCUGCCCCUGACUCUGGGAUAAGCGCUGGAAACGGCGUCUAAUACUGGAUAUGUGACGUGACCGCAUGGUCUGCGUUUGGAAAGAUUUUUCGGUUGGGGAUGGGCUCGCGGCCUAUCAGCUUGUUGGUGAGGUAAUGGCUCACCAAGGCGUCGACGGGUAGCCGGCCUGAGAGGGUGACCGGCCACACUGGGACUGAGACACGGCCCAGACUCCUACGGGAGGCAGCAGUGGGGAAUAUUGCACAAUGGGCGGAAGCCUGAUGCAGCAACGCCGCGUGAGGGAUGACGGCCUUCGGGUUGUAAACCUCUUUUAGCAGGGAAGAAGCGAAAGUGACGGUACCUGCAGAAAAAGCGCCGGCUAACUACGUGCCAGCAGCCGCGGUAAU
rnacentral:rRNA from 1 species